rnacentral:rRNA from 1 species
AGUGAACGCUGGCGGUAGGCCUAACACAUGCAAGUCGAACGGCAGCACAGUAAGAGCUUGCUCUUACGGGUGGCGAGUGGCGGACGGGUGAGGAAUACAUCGGAAUCUACUUUUUCGUGGGGGAUAACGUAGGGAAACUUACGCUAAUACCGCAUACGACCUACGGGUGAAAGCAGGGGAUCUUCGGACCUUGCGCGAUUGAAUGAGCCGAUGUCGGAUUAGCUAGUUGGCGGGGUAAAGGCCCACCAAGGCGACGAUCCGUAGCUGGUCUGAGAGGAUGAUCAGCCACAUGGGAACGGAGACACGGACCAGACUCCUACGGGAGGCAGCAGUGGGGAAUAGUGGACAAUGGGCGCAAGCCUGAUCCAGCCAUACCGCGUGGGUGAAGAAGGCCUUCGGGUUGUAAAGCCCUUUUGUUGGGAAAGAAAAGCAGCAGGUUAAUACCCCGCUGUUCUGACGGUACCCAAAGAAUAAGCACCGGCUAACUUCGUG